GAGAAAAUGCGUGAUUUUCGGGUUCAAUGGGGGAUUCUCGAAAAGAAAGCGCGUGAUUUUCGGGUAAAAUGGGGGAUUUGCGAAGAGACAACGCAUGAUUUUUUCUUAAAUGAAGGAUUCUCGAAUAGAAAACACGUGAUAUUCGGGUUAAAUGGGGGUUUUCUGAUGAGAAAAUGUGGCAUUUUUGUUUAAAUGGCGGGUUUUCAAAUAGGAAACGCGUGAUUUUCGGGUUAAAUGGGGGAUUCUCGAAAAGAAAAUGCCUGAUUUUCGGGUUAAAUGGGGGAUUCUUGAAGAGAAAACACGUGAUUUCCGCUUAAAUGUGGGAUUUGCGAAGAGAAAAUGCGUGGUUUUUGCAUUAAUGGGGGAUUUUCAAAAAGAAAACGCGUGAUUUCCGCUUAAAUGGGGGAUUUGUGAAGAAAAAACGCGUUAUUUUGGGGUUAAAUGGGGGAUUUGCGAAGAGAAAACGCGUGAUUUUGGGGAUAAACGGGGGAUUUGCGAAGAGAAAACGCGUGAUUUUCGCUUAAAUGUGGGAUUCUUGAAGAGAAAACGCAUGAUUUUCAAGUUAAAUGAGGGAUUUGUGAAGAGAAAAGACGUGAUUUUCACUUAACCUGAAAGUCACGCGUUUUCUCUUUGAGAAUCCCCCAUUUAAGCGAAUAUCACGCGUUUUCUCUUCGCAAAUCCUUCAUUUAUGCGAAUAUCGCGCGUUUUCUCUUCC
ensembl:lncRNA